GAUGAACGCUGGCGGCGUGCCUAAUACAUGCAAGUCGAGCGAACAGACGAGGAGCUUGCUCCUCUGACGUUAGCGGCGGACGGGUGAGUAACACGUGGAUAACCUACCUAUAAGACUGGGAUAACUUCGGGAAACCGGAGCUAAUACCGGAUAAUAUAUUGAACCGCAUGGUUCAAUAGUGAAAGACGGUUUUGCUGUCACUUAUAGAUGGAUCCGCGCCGCAUUAGCUAGUUGGUAAGGUAACGGCUUACCAAGGCAACGAUGCGUAGCCGACCUGAGAGGGUGGUCGGCCACACUGGAACUGAGACACGGUCCAGACUCCUACGGGAGGCAGCAGUAGGGAAUCUUCCGCAAUGGGCGAAAGCCUGACGGAGCAACGCCGCGUGAGUGAUGAAGGUCUUCGGAUCGUAACACUCUGUUAUUAGGGAAGAACAAAUGUGUAAGUAACUAUGCACGUCUUGACGGUACCUAAUCAGAAAGCCACGGCUAACUACGUG
rnacentral:rRNA from 1 species